rnacentral:rRNA from 1 species
CCUACGGGAGGCAGCAGUGAGGAAUAUUGGUCAAUGGGAGAGAUCCUGAACCAGCCAAGCCGCGUGAGGGAAGACGGCCCUAUGGGUUGUAAACCUCUUUUGUCGGAGAACAAAACCCGGGACGUGUCCCGGACUGCGUGUAUCCGAAGAAAAAGCAUCGGCUAACUCCGUGCCAGCAGCCGCGGUAAUACGGAGGAUGCGAGCGUUAUCCGGAUUUAUUGGGUUUAAAGGGUGCGUAGGCGGUCCGUUAAGUCAGCGGGAAAAUUGCGGGGCUCAACCCCGUCGAGCCGUUGAAACUGGCAGCCUUGAGUUGGCGAGAAGUACGCGGAAUGCGCGGUGUAGCGGUGAAAUGCAUAGCUAUCGCGCAGAACUCCGAUUGCGAAGGCAGCGUACCGGCGCCAGACUGACGCUGAGGCACGAAAGCGUGGGGAUCGAACAGGAUUAGAUACCCGUGUAGUC